GCAUAAGCGUGCUUAACUGCGAGACCGACAAGUCGAGCAGGUGCGAAAGCAGGUCAUAGUGAUCCGGUGGUUCUGUAUGGAAGGGCCAUCGCUCAACGGAUAAAAGGUACUCUGGGGAUAACAGGCUGAUACCGCCCAAGAGUUCAUAUCGACGGCGGUGUUUGGCACCUCGAUGUCGGCUCAUCUCAUCCUGGGGCUGUAGCCGGUCCCAAGGGUAUGGCUGUUCGCCAUUUAAAGAGGUACGUGAGCUGGGUUUAAAACGUCGUGAGACAGUUUGGUCCCUAUCUGCCGUGGGCGUUGGAUAUUUGAAGGGGGCUGCUCCUAGUACGAGAGGACCGGAGUGGACGAACCUCUGGUGUACCGGUUGUCACGCCAGUGGCAUCGCCGGGUAGCUAUGUUCGGAAGAGAUAACCGCUGAAAGCAUCUAAGCGGGAAACUCGCCUUAAGAUGAGAUAUCCCUGGGGACUAGAUCCCCUUGAAGGGUCGUUCGAGACCAGGACGUUGAUAGGUCAGGUGUGUAAGCGCAGUAAUGCGUUCAGCUAACUGAUACUAAUUGCCCGUAAGGCUUGAUCCU
rnacentral:ncRNA from 1 species